UACAGAGGUCUCAAGCGUUGUUCGGAUUCAUUGGGCGUAAAGGGUGCGUAGGCGGCGCGGUAAGUGGGGUGUGAAAUUUCGGAGCUUAACUCCGAAACUGCAUUCCAUACUGCGGUGCUUGAGGACUGGAGAGGAGACUGGAAUUUACGGUGUAGCAGUGAAAUGCGUAGAGAUCGUAAGGAAGACCAGUGGCGAAGGCGGGUCUCUGGACAGUUCCUGACAUGAGGCACGAAGGCCAGGGGGCAGCAAACGGGG
rnacentral:rRNA from 1 species